AGAAGUCACGAAACUUGUUUUUAUCUGUAAUUUCAUUUGCAAGAACUGGAAGUUUUAUCCUGAGCUUUGACAGGUCAUCGCACCUUCAAUCAACAUUUUGGAAAUUUGGGGAAGACAAACAGGUUAUGUUCGUUUUACCAAAACACUCACCCAAGCUCCAUCAUUCCUUCAAAGAAUUCCUUUUUGGUGAACUCACAUUGUGUAGCUGCACGGAACUUCCAUGCAAUUAUCAGAACAAUGCGACUAGUUGGUUCUACCUGUAACUCUUCACAAAACUUUGAAAUUCCCUCCACACCAACUUUAUCCGGAUCUAAUGGGUCUGUGAAUGUAGAUUAAGUUA